rnacentral:rRNA from 1 species
UGGGGAAUCUUGCGCAAUGGGCGAAAGCCUGACGCAGCCAUGCCGCGUGAAUGAUGAAGGUCUUAGGAUUGUAAAGUUCUUUCGCCCGUGACGAUGAUGACGGUAACGGGAGAAGAAGCCCCGGCUAACUUCGUGCCAGCAGCCGCGGUAAUACGAAGGGGGCUAGCGUUGUUCGGAAUUACUGGGCGUAAAGCGCGCGUAGGCGGUUUUGCAAGCCAGAGGUGAAAUGCCUGAGCUCAACUUGGGAAUUGCCUUUGGGACUGCGAGGCUUUGAGGACUGGAGAGGUGAGUGGAAUUCCCAGUGUAGAGGUGAAAUUCGUAGAUAUUGGGAAGAACACCGGUGGCGAAGGCGGCUCACUGGCCAGUUUCUGACGCUGUAGCGCGAAAGCGUGGGGAUCAAACAGGAUUAGAUACCCUGGUAGUCCACGCCGUAAACGAUGAGUGCUAGGCGUCGGCAGGCUUGCCUGUCGGUGCCGCAGCUAACGC